rnacentral:rRNA from 1 species
UAGGGAAUCUUCGGCAAUGGACGAAAGUCUGACCGAGCAACGCCGCGUGAGUGAAGAAGGUUUUCGGAUCGUAAAACUCUGUUGUUAGAGAAGAACAAGGACGUUAGUAACUGAACGUCCCCUGACGGUAUCUAACCAGAAAGCCACGGCUAACUACGUGCCAGCAGCCGCGGUAAUACGUAGGUGGCAAGCGUUGUCCGGAUUUAUUGGGCGUAAAGCGAGCGCAGGCGGUUUCUUAAGUCUGAUGUGAACGCCCCCGGCUCAACCGGGGAGGGUCAUUGGAGACUGGGAGACUUGAGUGCAGAAGAGGAGAGUGGAGUUCUAUGUGUAGCGGUGAAAUGCGUAGAUAUAUGGAGGAACAACAGUGGCGAAGGCGACUCUCUGGUCUGUAACUGACGCUGAGGCUCGAGAGCGUGGGGAGCAAACAGG